AAUUAGUUAGGGUUAGGUAGUUGUUUUCCUUUGCUAAAAAAGCGAACUGAGCAGAUUUUGCGAGCUUGAGUUUGUGUUUACCUGCUUUUCCGUGGUUCUGGAUAUUACAUCGAAAUUAUAUCUACUUCUAGCAUAACUUAUAUUACUGGUCUAAUACAGACUAAGCAAUAAAUACAUUUUCAAUUUAGACAUUCUUAUAAUAUUUUCGAACUGGCGUCCGAAAAUUAUACCAAGAAAAUGUUGGAUGGGUGGUAUUGUCGCUCAAUAGCGAAUAUGCAAGCGAAUGAGGCAGCCAGUGUGAGCAGUAGCACCCCAGCUGAAACUAGUAACACCAGAGACCCACAGAAUUAUUCCAGCGAUAGCAGCAGUGAACCUGAGCCUGAGCCCAAUUAUCGUGCUCAGUACCUUUCUUUGAAGAAGAAACUGAAAUAUCUUAUUUAUGAGAAUGAAUGUUUCCAAGAUGCUUUAAGAUGCAGUCAGAAGAGACUGCUGAAGGUGUCGCGGGACCGCACAUUUCUUCUUGACAGAUUACUACAAUAUGAAAAACAGGAGAGCACCACCUCAGAAAGUGAAGAUACAGAAUCUUCAGAUGACACUGAGUACAGUCGAGUUGAUGCUGUGAAAAGAAAGAAACUUGACGCUUUUUCACAUCAGAAUAUUUCUGCGCCAUUUGCUAACAAAGGGCCUGUUGUUAAGAGAAAGAGAGCUGUUGCACCAAAAAAACCUGCAAAUAUGGCACACAUGCACCCAACUAGUGGUUCCGUGUUAAACAAGGCAUCUCCAGCAUUGGGCUUCGGCUUAACUAGUGACGGCCACAUGACUCCAGAAGAGGUUGAGCGGCACUUGCAAUCACGACAGUCCUACUUGGAGCUGUUGCCAGAAAGGGCUCCUCCCACUGUCCCCACCGAAAUGUUCAGCAAUGACCCAUCCCUAGACAGGGCUGGGCUUCGGCCUGUGCACCAGUGACGACUACUUGAUGCCAGAAGAGCUACAGCGUCUUCGGCAGUCAUACGAGUUGUUACCAGAGAGGGCACCUCCCGCCCUUCACAAUCUGAUGUUCAGCAGUAAUCCUUCAUUGGACAGUGAAUCUAAUGACGUGUUGGAAAACUCGCCAAAUGUAGAAGAGUGGUUUGAUUAGCAUACCAUGUGGUGGUACAAUAUAGGUAUCAUUUGCAAAGUGUUAACGAUUGAGUGUAAGAUAAUCUCAUAUAUUAUACAUUUUUUAUCUGC
rnacentral:misc_RNA from 1 species